ACAAAGGAAAAAGUGAAGCUGCCAGCUUGAUCUAGCUUUGGUUAGAAAGCUGAUGAGAGUUAUGCAUGCAUGUGAGUGAAUAGUGAAUAGUGAUAUGUGUUGUGUUGUGUUGUGUUGCUAUUUAACCCUAACUAGGUCAUGCUGUCACAGCUUCACUCCUUCCUAUU
rnacentral:pre_miRNA from 1 species